GAAAUAUUAGUUUAAUAAAAUAUUACCUUGUCAAGGUAAAGAUAUCAAAAGAUAUAUUUCU
rnacentral:tRNA from 2 species